UUGUCUCAAAGAUUAAGCCAUGCAUGUCUAAGUACAGGCUUUGGUACAGCGAAACCGCGAAUGGCUCAUUAAAUCAGCUAUAAUUUAUUAGAUUGUUCUCUACUUGGAUAACUGUGGGAAUUCUAGAGCUAAUACAUGCGCAAAAGCUCCGACCUUCGGGGAGGAGUGCAGUUAUUAGACCAAAACCAGCCGAGCUUCGGCUCGAACUGUUUGGUGACUCUGGAUAACGAUCAGCGGAUCGCAUGGCCUUGUGCCGGCGACAUAUCUUUCAAGUGUCUGACCUAUCAACUGACGAUGGUACGCGAUAUGCCUACCAUGGUGAUAACGGGUAACGGAGAAUAAGGGUUCGACUCCGGAGAGGGAGCCUGAGAAAUGGCUACCACAUCCAAGGAUGGCAGCAGGCGCGCAAAUUACCCACUCUCAGUACGAGGAGGUAGUGACGAAAAAUAACAAUGCGGGACUCUAUGAGGCCUCGCAAUUGGAAUGAGCGCACUUUAAAUCGUUCGACGAGGAUCUAUUGGAGGGCAAGUCUGGUGCCAGCAGCCGCGGUAAUUCCAGCUCCAAUAGCGUAUAUUAAAGUUGUUGCAGUUAAAAAGCUCGUAGUUGGAUCUGGGGUUCGGGUCGGUGGUUUGCCGCUCUGCGGCUACUGCCGUGCUCGACUCUUACUAGCCGGUGCGUCUCGUGGUGCUCUUCAUUGAGUGCCACGAGAGCCUGGCAUGUUUACUUUGAAAAAAUUAGAGUGCUCAAAGCAGGCGCUUGCGCCUGAAUAGUGUUGCAUGGAAUAAUGGAAUAGGACCUCGGUUCUAUUUUGUUGGUUUUCGGAACUUGAGGUAAUGAUUAAGAGGGACGGUCGGGGGCAUUCGUAUUUCGGUGUUAGAGGUGAAAUUCUUGGAUCGCUGAAAGACGGACAAAUGCGAAAGCAUUUGCCAAGAAAAA
rnacentral:rRNA from 1 species